rnacentral:rRNA from 1 species
UUUAUCGGAGAGUUUGAUCCUGGCUCAGGACGAACGCUGGCGGCGUGCCUAAUACAUGCAAGUCGAGCGGACUUGAUGGGAGCUUGCUUCUAUCAAGUUAGCGGCGGACGGGUGAGUAACACGUGGGUAACCUGCCUGUAAGACUGGGAUAACUCCGGGAAACCGGGGCUAAUACCGGAUAACUUCUUUCUCCGCAUGGAGAAAGAUUGAA